rnacentral:lncRNA from 1 species
CCUCUGCCAUUGAAUUGCAGGCUUCCACUGUCCGGAAGAAUCACAGGCUUUCUUUCAGGCUCCAAAGCGACCCACUAACAAAGCAUGGGGGCUGGGAGAUGUGUCUUUGAUCUCUGUCUCAUUCAUUCUUCCCAAAAUCACAGACCCAGGACCUCCCGCCAAUUUCUGAUCUUUUGUCCCAAGUCAAUUCAUGAACAGUCAUAAAUUGCUUUGAAGAUGAAAGCACCACAUCAGUGCACCAGGAUACCACUAUUAUUUUAAUAAGUGAAGCCUGCACAUGUCUUUUUGACGUAUGAACUGUUCAAAAUAUUUGUCUUGUUUUUCAGUUCAGCUGCAUGAGAAAAGGACUUGUGUUGUCUCCCGUGUAUACUCCUCCAUAUACCACUCUGCAGAAUGAGCACUGUUUUCAUAAAAAUGUUUGCCUUUUCUCCAACAAAAGAAAUUGAUGUUUCUCUUGGGACUUCAUCUCUUUUAGCCAAAGCUUGAGUAAUUAUUUUUAGAGAUAUGUACUUUUGUACUUUUAAAAUGUCUAAUUUAUUGCAAUGCUUACAAAUGCCAAUAAAAUGUACUAUCAUAUUCAAAAGGCCAACAAAGGUCAAUGCACAUUGAAAAAAUGAGAAGAAAUAUAUAUGUGAACAGAAUAAUGGAUUCAUAAGCAAACAUAAGAAUGGAUUCUACUUGCACAGGAGGAAGAGAAUAGAGAAUUUUAUUCUUUACAUCUACCACUAAUAGCUAUUCUACACUCAUGCCUUUUAAGGAAAUUUCUCCGGGGAACAUAUUUUACCAUGUCAUGGCACAUGACUUUGACCACCUCUCACGAAUGCUUCUGUAAACUUAACCAACAUCUAACAUAUUUUCAUGGACUCAGCUUCAUUGGCGGUCCCCCGUGAGCUGUCAGGGCUGGCCUGCUAUGCUGAUAUCUGGCACUGGGCAGAGAAUAAGGAAGGCUGCUGGAGUAGGUUGAUGAGGAGCCACUGCCAGGCGCUCAGAAAUGCAGUCAGUUCAUAAACUCUGGACCUUGGACUAGCACCUAGGAAUGUCCCUCACAUCUGCCACAGGCUAUACGUUUUGUCACUUGGUCUCCA